rnacentral:lncRNA from 1 species
GUUGAGUCUGAAUCAUACCUCAAUUUCAUUUACCUCACUAAUUCAGAUAUGAUAAGAGUACUAACUAACAUUACUAAAAGGAGUAAAGUGCGACUAGUAUAUUUAUAUCAACAAAUUGACAAUUUUAAUAUAAAACAUCACAAGGAAAAUAUGACCACUCAUUGAACGUCAAACUGUGUUUGAUUUUACUUUAGUCGGCCG